rnacentral:rRNA from 1 species
AGUGAACGCUGGCGGCAGGCCUAAUACAUGCAAGUCGAACGGCAGCACAGUGGAGCUUGCUCCAUGGGUGGCGAGUGGCGGACGGGUGAGGAAUACAUGGGAAUCUGCCCAGUCGUGGGGGAUAACGUAUGGAAACGUACGCUAAUACCGCAUGCGCCCUUCGGGGAAAGGUCGGGGACCGGCAAGGCCUGACGCGAUUGGAUGAGCCCAUGUUCGAUUAGCUAGUUGGCGGGGUAACGGCCCACCAAGGCGACGAUCGAUAGCUGGUCUGAGAGGAUGAUCAGCCACACUGGAACUGAGACACGGUCCAGACUCCUACGGGAGGCAGCAGUAGGGAAUAUUGGACAAUGGGCGCAAGACCUGAUCCAGCCAUGCCGCGUGAGUGAAGAAGG